rnacentral:rRNA from 1 species
AUACGGAGGGUGCAAGCGUUACUCGGAAUCACUGGGCGUAAAGCGCGCGCAGGCGGCUAUUUAAGUUGGAUGUGAAAGCCUACGGCUCAACCGUAGAACUGCAUCCAAAACUAUUUAGCUAGAGUGUGGGAGAGGAAGAUGGAAUUAGUUGUAUAGGGGUAAAAUCCGUAGAGAUAACUAGGAAUACCAAAAGCGAAGGCAAUCUUCUGGAACACUACUGACGCUGAGGCGCGAAAGCGUGGGGAGCAAACAGGAUUAGAAACCCUAGUAGUCC